CGGCGGUGGUUUCGCUCUGAGCCGUCCAUUAGCGGCGCGUUU
rnacentral:sRNA from 1 species